UACGUAGGGCGCAAGCGUUAUCCGGAAUUAUUGGGCGUAAAGAGCUCGUAGGCGGUUUGUCGCGUCGUAUGUGAAAACCCGGGGCUCAACCCCGGGCCUGCAUUCGAUACGGGCAGACUAGAGUUCGGUAGGGGAGUCUGGAAUUCCUGGUGUAGCGGUGAAAUGCGCAGAUAUCAGGAGGAACACCGGUGGCGAAGGCGGGACUCUGGGCCGAUACUGACGCUGAGGAGCGAAAGCGUGGGGAGCAAACAGG
rnacentral:rRNA from 1 species